AGUGAACGCUGGCGGUAGGCCUAACACAUGCAAGUCGAACGGCAGCACAGUAAGAGCUUGCUCUUACGGGUGGCGAGUGGCGGACGGGUGAGGAAUACAUCGGAAUCUACUUUUUCGUGGGGGAUAACGUAGGGAAACUUACGCUAAUACCGCAUACGACCUACGGGUGAAAGCAGGGGAUCUUCGGACCUUGCGCGAUUGAAUGAGCCGAUGUCGGAUUAGCUAGUUGGCGGGGUAAAGGCCCACUAAGGCGACGAUCCGUAGCUGGUCUGAGAGGAUGAUCAGCCACACUGGAACUGAGACACGGUCCAGACUCCUACGGGAGGCAGCAGUGGGGAAUAUUGGACAAUGGGCGCAAGCCUGAUCCAGCCAUACCGCGUGGGUGAAGAAGGCCUUCGGGUUGUAAAGCCCUUUUGUUGGGAAAGAAAAGCAGCAGGUUAAUACCCCGCUGCUCUGACGGUACCCAAAGAAUAAGCACCGGCUAACUUCGUG
rnacentral:rRNA from 1 species